CGUGGAGCCGCCGCCGUCAGCUGACAGUCACGUGGUACGGACUGCUUGAGCUGCUUCCUGAACGCUGCGGAUCCGGCGUUGCCGGCUCAGGCGCCUCAAGAUGCGCGGUGGGCAAGUCGCGGAGCGGGCAGCGGUGCUCCAGUUCACAAACUGCCGCAUCCUGCGCGGUGGCAUGUUACUCAGGGAGGACUUAUGGGUGCGUGGGGGUCGUGUCCUGGAUCCUGAAAAGCUGUUCUUUGAGGAGCGCCGAGUGGCCGAUGAGCAGCGGGACUGUAGAGGCUGCAUCUUGGCCCCGGGCUUCAUCGACGUGCAGAUGAACGGUGGAUUUGGUGUUGACUUCUCCAGGGCCACGGAGGACGUGGGUUCAGGUGUCGCCCUGGUAGCCCAAAGGAUCCUGUCCCACGGUGUCACCUCCUUCUGCCCCACCCUGGUCACUUCCCCACCCGAGGUUUACCAUAAGGUCCUUCCUCAGAUCCCUAUGAAGAGUGGUGGUCCUCAUGGGGCAGGGGUCCUCGGAGUACACUUGGAGGGCCCGUUCAUCAGCCCAGAAAAGCGGGGUGCACAUCCCGAGGCCCACAUCCGCUCUUUUGAGGUCAAUGCCUUCCAUGAUUUGCUGGCUACCUAUGGGUCCUUGGACAACGUCCGUAUUGUGACGCUAGCCCCUGAGCUGGGCCGCAGCCAUGAAGUGAUCAAGGCACUAACAGCUCAGGACAUCUGCGUGUCCCUAGGGCACUCAGUGGCCCACCUGCAGGCUGCAGAGGAAGCAGUACAGAGUGGGGCCACCUUCAUUACCCACCUCUUCAAUGCCAUGCUGCCUUUCCACCACCGUGACCCAGGCAUCGUGGGGCUUCUGACCAGUGACCAACUACCCCCAGGCCAGUGCAUCUUCUAUGGGAUGAUCGCUGAUGGCAUACAUACCAACCCUGCUGCCCUGAGGAUUGCCCACCGGGCCCAUCCCCAGGGACUGGUACUUAUCACUGAUGCUGUCCCUGCGCUGGGCCUGGGCAAUGGCCGUCACACCUUGGGACAGAUGGAGGUGGAAGUGGAUGGGCUGAUGGCCUGCAUUGCAGGCACCAAGACACUGUGUGGCAGCAUAGCCCCAAUGGAUGUGUGUGUCCGACAUUUUCUACAGGCCACAGAGACCAGGCCUGUCCCACUUUGACUCUGGGCCCUAAAACGGGACUCCGCUGUGCAUGGGGCAGUGGCCAUGGGCUAUUGCCAAGCUGUGUACCUGAUCAGGCUGCAGUGUGGAGGCGGCCCUGGAGGCUGCAUCCCUGCAUCCCGCCCAGCUGCUGGGGCUGGAGAAGAGGAAGGGGACUCUGGACUUUGGUGCUGAUGCAGGCUUAAUUGCCUGGGAGUGACUUCAUUUGCAGGGUAUAAGGUCCCUUCCCAACACCUCUCACCCUCUGGCUCUGCCCCAGACUUUGUGGUGCUCGACGACAGCCUCCAUGUCCAGGCCACCUACAUCUCAGGUGAGCUGGUGUGGCAGGCAGAGGAAGCCAGGCCAUGACCUCAGACCUCGGCUGGAGAGGACGCCUGGCCAGCCCCAGCUGGACACUGAUCGGGCGGGCAUCUUCGGGAGCUGGUCUCCAGGGAACAAGUUGGGAGCCCCCAUGCCAGAUCGACAUUCAUAGACCAGAGCUAGCAGCCACCCUGGAGGUGAUGGCUUGCAUAAAUGAGCAGCAGGAUUUGCCUUGUCUCUGGGUUUUGCUUAUACUUCAUUUGGGGCAUCGGGGGAAAGUGUUCAUGGCUUGGGGCAAAAACAGUUGGAUUCCUCAGGGGGUCUGUUAGGCCUAAUUUGCCUGAAGCCACAGGAAAAUCUUCAGAGCCAGGAGUGGUGGUGGACGCCUGUAAUCCCAGCAUUCAGGAGGCUGAGACAGGAAGGUUGCUGCAACUUUGAGACCAGCCUUGGCUACAUAGUGAGUUUAAGGCCAGCCUGGACUACAUAGUGAUACCUUCUCUAAAAAGAAAAAAAAAAAAAAAAAAAUCAAAAGGAAAAUGUUAAGACUUGAGUGGAGGGAGGGGGAGAUUCAUCCCAGUGAGAUAGGAUAGAUGGAAACCAUUCAUUGGUUGGCAUGCUGCACAAUGGGGCUAUUUUUUUUUUUUUUUUUUGUCUUUUUCCUUUUUAUCAGUACCAGGGAUCGAACUCAAGACUGCCUGCUUGCAAGGCAGGCGCUUAUGCCGCUGAGCUAAAUCCCCAGCCCCCUCAAAGGGGCUAUUGACUAUGAUGAUAAGUAGCUUCAGAAGUUUGCUCACUGCCUCUGAGAUGGCUGGGCAGGUUGAAAGCCCAUGGCCUGAUUCUGGGUUUGGGCACCUCUCCAGGAACUCUGCAUUGCAGGAGGGAGUCCACAGUGGGUUUUGGAUCCCAGGUCACCCAGGGCUGAGUGCAGGAGUCUGUGGCCUACGGGCCUGCAGCUUGGUCCUGGAAUAUCUGGACACUGCUUUCUAGAUUGCCUGGCUUGCCUGCCCUUCAGUUACACCCUCUAGCACCCUUUUGGGUAAUCUAGGUUCAUUUUCUUUUGUUUUUUUUUUAUCGGUACCAGGAAUCGAACUCUCGACUGCGUGCUUGCAAGGCAGGUGCUUAUGCUGCUGAGUUAAAUCCCCAGCCCUAGGUUCAUUUUCUUUGAUGUUGUUUUUCAACAGUCCCUUCUCCUGACCUAAUCUUUGCAUGUGACAAGCUUGCCUCACGUGGUAUUUGGUGGCUACUUUGUCUGGUGCUGCAGUCUCACAGUCUCACAAUUGCCUCAGACCCUGAAACUCUGAAUUUGCCCCCUGGAAGUAAUGGCAGUUCUCCUGCUUCAACCUCCUGAGUACUGGGAUUGUAGGUGUAUGCCACCAUGCCUGGUGCCAUUAUUGUCUUGGGCCGUGCACCCUAGGCUGGCUUCUCCCUACUUGGAGAGUAUGAGCUGUCAGUUGGCAGAUUUCACUGCUCUCUUGGAUCUGAUGAUGGUUUUUGACAUGAAGGUCAAAUGCCAGAUCUGAAAAUGGUGUCUUAACACUCCCCUUUUGGGAAUACAGUAAAAUAGUUUUACCUAUACAAUAUGGUAAAACUGUUUCUUGGUGCAGGAAAUUGCUGACAUGUCGCAGGACGUUUUGAAGGUGGCUCCCAUCAAAGGAGAUGUGUCCAGAUCCAAAGCAAUAAAAAUGGUCUCUGAUCUCAUGUUUGAGGACUAAUAGCAUGAGAAGGGCAACUGUUGGGGAAGGGGUCAUUCACAGGGGCACAUGGGGAUAGGUCUUGGCCCACAUGCCUUUGAAUAUACACUGUCAGCCCAAGACAAUAAGCAUGGGGAUUCCUGGGUCUGCCCAUGGACUCAUGCCUUCUGUGUGGCUGACAAGCCCCUAUAGGGUGCCUGGUGCCAAAGACAGACACAAAUGUGGGCCAGGCAGACCUCACUCCAGAUGCUUAAUGAGAGUUAACUCCACCUUUCUGCCAAAAACUCAGAGUGAGGUCCUAUUUGUUAUCCCGACUUUUAGUGCACUAUCAGAGGAGCUGCCAGAUGGGAGGUCAAUAGCAGUGGGAAGUUGGUGCUGGGACUGAAUUACAUAUCAAUAAACUUUUACAAGCCCAGAGGCUCAGAGCUUGUAUAGAUGGGAUGAAGACAGCCAUGUGGAUGGAAAGUGGUUGGCGUGGUUAGUGGCAUGGUGGUAUGGACAGGAGUCUGGAGCUAUUGUGGGAGUGUGGAUUUUAUUUGAGGUGUAGGGCCAGUGCAGAUGGGAUUGUAUUAGUUUUUAAAAAUAUAACAAAUUCUGCUGAGUAUGGUAGCACAUGUGUUAAUUCCAACACUUGACAGACUGGAAGGAGGAGGAUCACCAUAAGUCUGAGGCCAGCCUAGUUUACCUAGUGAGUUUAAGGCCAGCUUGGACUAUACAUUGAGAUCUUAUCUCAAAAAACCAAAAGUCAGUAAAUUAAAGAAACACAUUUUACAAUCAACCAUCUGUGAGUGUAGUGCUAGAGAUGGACCCUAGGGCCUCACACAUGCUAGGUAGUGCUCUACCACUGAGCUAUAUUCCUAGCCUCUGUGUGUGUGUAUAUAUAUAUAUUUUUUUUUUUUUGUACCUUCGAUUGAACUCGACUUUGAGCUUGCCAGGCAGGCGCUUACACCACUGAACUAAAUUCCCAGCCCCCUAGCCUGUUAAAUUUUUUUAAAAAUUAAUUUAUUUAUUGGUACCAGGGAUCAAACUCAUGACCCCGCAUUUUCCAAGCAGGCACUAACACAGCUGAACUAAAUCCCCAGCCCUUAUUUUUAAAAAAAUUUUUAAAUUUAUUUAUUUUUAUCUUUUUGAGACAGGGUCUCGCUAUUCUACCACACUCAGUUCAGGCUGGCCUUGAGCUCAGUUUGUAGCCUAGGCUGGUCUUGAACUGGCAAUGAUCCUCCUGCCUCAGCCUCCUGAGUGCUGGAAGUAUAGGCGAGGUAUGUAACACCAUGCCCAGCUCUAACCAAUUACUUUUGGAGACAAGGUCUUGCUGUGUAGUUCAGGUUGGCCUUGAACUGACUGUGGAACCCAGGCUGGUGUUGAGCUCCCAGUGAUCAUCCUGCCUCCGCCUCCUGAGUGCUGGGGUUACAGUGGUGCCCCACUAUGCUCUGCCCCAUUGCCAGCCUUUUAAUAUUUAUUAUCUGUAUUUACUAGGAUGGUGCUGAGACAAUGUCUCUGGUCUUACUGUGUAGUCCAAGCUGGCCUUGAACUCACCAAAUUAGCCCAGGCAGGCUUUGAACUUGGGAUCCUGUCUCAUCCUCCCUUUCCAGUAGCAUGCUCACAAUGCUCUGCAACCUGUCACACCAUCCAUUUGCUUGCAGGCACCUGGCAAGGUGGUCUAUCUGGUAUGGUGGUCUUCCUGGUGCUGCAUCAGCUUGCGCAUCACGUGGGCCGUCCUGUAAGCAGCGGUCACUCCGGUGUGCGGGGCGGACCUAUGGGUAAUUAAGAUUCAAGCUUCUUGGAACUGACAACCCAGUCCGGUGCUUCCUCUUCUGUGAGCUCAGCUUCCCAGGCCUGUUGCUGAGGGUCAUGUACUUGAGAUCUGGCAGUGAUUCGAGCGAGGAAUGGCUGCGCCCCGGACCAGAGACAUGUCUCCCGAGGAUGGGAGUGUGCUUUUUAUCUUUUGACCCAGCAGAAGUGCGUGGGAACUCUAUUGUGUCCCAGUGUGUUCACUGUGGUCUUCCAGAGCUUUUUUUGCUCAGCAUUUGUCUCUGGUGUGGUGGGGUCAGCGACCUCUCAGGUGAGGGCCUUCACCAUGGCCCUCUGGACCUUGUCCUUCCCACUGAUAGAACCUACCAGAGUUGUGUCCUGGUCUGUUUUUUUUGGCGGGGUGCAUUGGGGAUCGAACUCAAGGCAGGUGCUUAUGCAGCUGAGCUAAAUCCCCGAUCCUGGUCUGUUUUACCACAUGGGACUGCUCUUUUGGUUGUGCCACCAAGUUCUCUAUUUAAAUUGAGGGAGCAAGUAGAAAGCUUCCCAGGUGGGAAUGCAUGGGUCAGUCUCGUAAUGAAAAGUGCUCAGAGUCCUCGAAAAUGAUUCCCACAGUGAAACACCCUCACCUACCACCUCCCCUCCACACAGCUAAGGAUUUGCCUUGGGUCAGGGAUGGGCCAUUCUGGGGACCCAGACACUCUAGGUGAGUCUUCUUGACUCUGUGACUACUUUAUUCUACAUGAGCCCUGGAGACCAGAGAAGGCCCUUCUGUGUAUUUUCUAUUGCUGCUGUUAAAAGUAACCACAAACCUGGUGAUUUAAAGUAGAAGUGUGGGACAUGGUAGUGCACAUCUGUAAUCCCAGCACUCAAGAGGCUGAGGCAGGAGGAUCAUUGUGAGUUCGAGGCCAGCCUGGACUACAUUAGAAGACCCUGUCUUUACUAAAAAAAAAGGUGGAUAUGGUGUCACAUCCCAGCACUCCGGAGGCUGAGGCAGGAGGGUCACUUUGGAGUUCAACACCAGCCUGAGUUACAUAGUGUGUUCCAGAACAGCCUGAAUUACAUAGCUUAAAAAAAAAAAGAAAAAAAGAACAGAAGUUAAAAUAGCAGAAGUCAGGCUGGUAUAACGGCAUACUCCUGUAAUCCCAGCACUCAGGAGGCUGAAGCAGGCAGAUUGUUGCAACUUUGAGAAUACUGUGGGUUACAAAGUGAGCCCAAGGCCAGCCUGAAUCACAUAGCAAGACUCUGUCUCAAAAAGAAAAAAAACAGCAGAAGUCCAUGAUUUAUGGUUUUGGAGGUCCAUGUCAUAAAUUAGUCUCAAUAGGCUGAUACCAAGGUGAUGACAGAUCUUCGUUUCUCUCUCAGCAAAGAGAUAGGAAUCUACUUUCUGGUCUGGUCUAUUUCCUAGAGGCUGCUGGCUUCUUCCCUCCCAGUUGAAUCAUUACAACCAUGCCUUUUCCUUUCUUGUUUUCCAUUAUUUGUGAUCCUUGUGUCUAUAUUGCCUACCCCCAUGCCAGAAUCACCCUGGCUACCCUCUCUGUUUUAAGGUCACUUGAAUAGCAACUUUUUCAUAGAGGAAUGGUGGCAAACCUAUGGCACACAUGCUGUCAGCACAGGAACCAAGUCAUUUCAGCAGCCAAGUCUCAGAUAACAGUUUUUUCUAAAAAUCAGGUUUAAUUUAGUGUUGGCACUUUGUGAUGAGUAAGUUUUGAAUUACAGUUUGGACAUCCUGUUUUUAAAAGGUUUGUCAUCCCUGUUAUAGAGCAUCACCGGUAGGGCGAAUUAAACAGUGGAUAUGUUUGGUGAGGCUAUUACUUUUUUUUUUUUUGUCUUUUUUCAUUUUUAUCAGUACCGGGGAUCAAACUCAUCACCCCCUGCUUACAAGGCAGGUGCUUAUGCCGCUGAGCUAAAUCCCCAGCCCCUGGGCUGUUAUUCUUAACUUGAAUGUCUUACCAAGACCCAGAGAAGAGUGCUCCUUUUAGGACUUAAGCAAGGAGGGGCUGGGGAUUUAGCUUAGUAGCAUAAGCGCCUGCCUUACAAGCAUGCAGUUGUGAGUUUGAUCCCUGGUACCAAUAUAAAAAAAAAAGUAAAAGAAGUAUAUAUUGCAUUUUUAUCUUCAGUGGGUUAAAGUUCCUGUUUUCCUACAUUCUUACUAACAUUGAAUGUUUUCAACCUUUGAGAUUUUAACUAAUUUUUUUCUCAACCCACUUUAUAACUGGGAAGUUGAGGUUUGAGGAAGGUAGGUUAAGCUUGUAUAAGAUAUCAUGCAACUUUCUGCUUCCUGACUCUCAGAUUUCUCACUUAGCGCUGUUUUUAGGGGUGGGAGGAUGUUAGUUCACUCAUGUGGCUUGGAAAUCACUGGGUCACUUUGUCAUCUCUCAUCCAUCUAUGCAUUGGCAGCUAUGAGCAAAUACAUGUUGGGAGCUGUGAGUAUAGUAUCCAAGGACCAGGGGGUGGAGGCUGGGGUGUUUGAGAAUCCCUCUCCUUUCAUCUGUCCAUAUCCUCACUGGUCUUCAUGCCUACCUAUUUACCCUGGUGACCCCUUCUCUAGACCCUAGUUAGAUACUGCUGGAGAGUCUAUAUUACAAAAUAACUGGCUUCACCGCCUGACAAGCCCUUUGUUGGCUUCAUAAUUCAGUGUCCAUUUUGGAUUACCCCUCUGUUCUUGUUUCUCCCAUCUCUGCCUAUAUGCUGCCUACUAGGCAUGAAUCCUGACCUGCCCUUGGCUAGCCAUGUUAGCCAGUCUUGAAGCUAGUCCUCAUGAUGCUACUCCUGCUGAUGGAUAUGGCAGAUGUAAUGGUUUACUUUUUUUUUUAUUGUGUAGUUUUUAGUAUAUGUUUGCUAUACAUAAUGAUUGCAUUUAUUGUGGUAAGUUUGUACGUGUACAUAACACAUUUUAAUUUUUUGUCCCCUCCUUUAAUUCUUCCCUGCUCCCUCCAACUCUUGAUCCCUUCCCGAUUUUAAAUAGCUCUGUUUUGAUUUUUUGCUGAUUGUCUCCCGUUUUCAUUUUUCAGACAAGGUCUCCCUGUGUAGUUCAGGCUGGCCUUGAACUCACUAUAUAACCCAGGCUAGCCUGGAACUCACAGCAAUCCUUUUGCUCCAGCCUCCAGAGUUCUGGGAUUGCAAGUGUGCACCACCAUACUUGGUUUUAAUUCUUUUUUAAAAUCCUCUUCUCCUCCAUCUCUUGUUCCCCUUCUUGUCUAAAAAAAGUGGCUAGGUGUGGUGGCACAUUCCUGUAAUUCCAGCCCUCAGGAGGCUGAGGCAGGAUGCUUGUCUUCACUAUAUAGCAAGACCCUGUCUCAAAAAAAUAAAAUAAAAUAAAAAGAUAAUCUCCCUAUUUCCUAUUACCUAUCCUUUAUUUUUGUUCUUUAUAUUUUGGGGUUUGCAUACAGGGAAAUUCAUGUGAUAUUUAAAUUUGUGUGUCAAAUUUAUUUCAUUUAAUGUCUUGGUCUCCAGGUACAUGGUUUAUCUCUCCUGAAGUUAGGUUAUAGAAGGCACCAUGAGUGGUUGGGAUGUGGUUCAGUGGUAGAAUUCUUGCCUCGCACACCCAUGACCCUGGGUUUGAUCUUCACUACCACAAAAAAUUAAAAAUAAAAAAAGAAUUUCCACAUAGUUCUUCUUUUGGCUGGGGGUGGUGCAUACACCUCAGGAUGAUCACCACCAGUUUGAGGCCAACUUGGGCUACAUAAGCAAGUUUGAGGUAAGCCUGAACUACAGAGUGAGACUUUGUCUCAAAUAAAUAGACAUCAUGGCUUCCAGGUUUGUGUGAUCUGUUUUCCCUCUGGUCACUUGCUGUGGUGAGAGCUGGUUGCUGCUCCAUUGCUCUGGGAAUUGCUUUUUGGAAGUAGCAUCUCCCACCCCACCCAAGCCUUCAGAUGUUUUAGCCCUGAGGAAGCCUGAACCAGACUACCCAAUCUGGCCCCUACUUGGUUCCUGACUCGCAGAAAUCAUGAGAUAAUGUGUGUCUGCUGUUUGGGGGCAAUUUGUUACAGAGCAAUGGGAAUAGAAUACUUUGCUGGUGCAUGAAGUCAUGGAAGUGACAUAUGCCUAUCGUCAGUGCACAAAGUUUCCUGUUUCCUAUAAGAGAUAGGACAUGCCUCAUAUAGCCCGUGCUCUGUGCAUGCCAGGGGUCUCCCACUCCUUUUUCCCCUCCAUUGCUCUGCAAUGCUUGGCCAACCCACUGCAUCGUUGGCUAUAUGCCACCUUUCAACCACAGACGGACUGUAGGCCAGGAAGGAAGAGAGAAAAACGAGGGAACAGAGCCUCUCCUUUCAGCGUGGGAGCCAGACCAUGUGAGACAUCUCUCCCAAAGUCUUGUUGGCCUGGGAGGUGCAGCCAGACCCAUGCCCUUCCUGGCCAGGCCUGGGUCUCUCCUGCUGGCUGCCGUCGGACUCCUAGAAGCCUAAAAGCUGACCUUCCUCAUUCCCCUGUGCUUUUCCUAUUCUCCCUCUGCUGCCAACUUACCACCUUCCCUGAGACUGUUGGCAGCAUGUUCACCCACUGCUCUAUGUGCUUCCCUGAACAGUAUACAGUCUCCAAAAGUUUCUUCUCUCUCCUUUUCCGUUUCUCUGGGAAUUCCUCAAGAACUGCAAAUUGGUACAGUAAUUUAGAUUCUUACACAAGUGAGAGAUCCUUAAAAUUUCUAGGGAGAAGAUAAUGCUAUUUAUUUGUAUGUUUAUUUUUUGAAACAGGGUCUUGCUAUGUAGUUCAGAUCACCUUUGAACUCUCUACUGAGCCCAGGCUGGCUUUGAACUCGUAGUGAUCUUCCUACUUCAGCCUUCUGCCUGAGUUCUGAUAUUAUAAGGCAUUUGCUACUAUGCCUGGCUAUCUGGUAUAUGUGUGUGUAUGUGUCACAUUUACCCAAUCAUGAGCAUAGAUUGGAUUUUAAGUUUGUUUAGUCUUUUUUUUUUUUUUUCAUAGUACCAGUGAUUGAACCCCGGAUCUCCUGCAUAUGAGGCAAGCACUCUACCACUCAAUUAUAUCCUCACCAACUCCUCUUUUUAUUAAUUUUUAUUUGCAUUGAUUUUUUUUCCUGGUACUGGGGGCCAAACUCAUGAUGUCACAGUUGCCGGGCAGGGGUUUAUGCUGCUGAAAUAAAUCCCCAGCCCCUGCAUCAAUGUUUUAAAAGCCCAAGUAGUCUGGAUGUGGUACUGUGCACCUGCAAUCCCAGUUGCUCUGGAGGAUCACAGGUACAAGUAGUAUUUGAGGAAAGGAUCACAUAUUCAAAGCCAUACUGGGUGUAGUGGCAUAGGCCUAUAAACCCAGUACUCAGGAGAUCAAUACAAUUUCUAGGCCAACUGGACUACAUAGUGAGACCCUCUCAAAGCAAAACAAAACAAGUUCAAGGCCAGCCUAGGUAACUUAGCAACGUCCUGUCUAAAAAUAAAAAGUAGGGAUAUAGCUCAAUAUAAAGGCCUUGGAUUCAAUCCUGUGGUGGGGGGGAGAGUACAAGAAUGAGUAGAUUUUAAAAAGCAUAUAAUGAAAAGUAGCCGUUGGCUGAUUUCUCUGAACUCACAUCCUGCUUACUAUGGGUUCAAAUGUUUUUCUUAUCUAUGUCCAUCAUUCUAAAUAUCUUUAUAUCUCUUCAUUUGUGUUGUUAUCUAUUAUCUUUCUAUUGAAGAGAUGAGGAUUCGGCUGUCAGACACUCAGACAUACCCAAAUCCCUGUCGCUUGUCCAGGCAGAGUAUACUGAUUACUCGUUGAAUCAAAGUACUUGAUCAUAACUGUAAAUGGCACUCAGCAGAAAGGAAUAAAAGGAGGUAUGGACUGUGAUUGUGCUUGCUUUUUGUAGAGCUGUUUUUCUGGAGUUUUUGUUUGUCAGCUUCUCAGUUUAGCUUUCCGUGUGGUGAGAGUCUAUCAUUUUUUUCUGCAUUUUUAUGGAAUUUGCUGGAAGGUUGCUCUGCUUGUUUCUGGAUGCUCCUUGUAGCUGCUGCUUAGCCUGAGUUCUCACCAUCCAUUUAAACUUAUGUCACCUUCCUGGGCACUCUUGUGACCUAAUUUUCUUUCUGACCCACAGCAUUUACUAUCUUCUAAUAUGCCAUAAGGUUUUUUUUUUUUUUUUUUGGACUAGGGAUCGAACUCAUGACCUUGUGUCUGCCAAGCAGGCACUUAUGCCACUGAGCUAAACCUUGCCAUGAGGUUUAUUUAUUUAUUGUGCUUGUUCACUUUCUUCUACCCCUGCCAGUGUACUGACACUUCACAAGCUCAGAGGUUUUUGUCUUGUGCACUGUGAAUUACCAGUGCACAGUGCAGGGCUUGGCACAGAGGAGGGGCUCAAUGAAUAUUGGUUGAAUGGACAAAUCCUGGGACUUCUCUAUACUCCUGUGAAGUCUUUCCUGCUUCCUGUUUCCAGAUCUCAUGUCCUCUGUUUGGUUUACUUUCUUAUUUGAUAGAGCAUAUUCUUCAAUAACUUUCUGGGAACAAUAUGUAAAAGAUAUGUAGUAUCUAUAGCUAUGUAUAUAUUCAAUGUCCAAUAUUUAGUGUACUAGUUGGCAAAUUGAUUCACAUGUUAGAUGGUAAUGAAUAUUGAGUAUCUUUCUCAAAAGUUUGUAAUGAGAAAUUAAGUCAAAUAAAAUGGUUAGCAAUCUCUAA